GUUUGAUCCUGGCUCAGGACGAACGCUGGCGGCGUGCCUAAUACAUGCAAGUGGGACGCAAGGGAACACACUGUGCUUGCACACCGUGUUUUCUUGAGUCGCGAACGGGUGAGUAACGCGUAGGUAACCUGCCUAUUAGCGGGGGAUAACUAUUGGAAACGAUAGCUAAUACCGCAUAAUAUUAAUUAUUGCAUGAUAAUUGAUUGAAAGAUGCAAGCGCAUCACUAGUAGAUGGACCUGCGUUGUAUUAGCUAGUUGGUAAGGUAAGAGCUUACCAAGGCGACGAUACAUAGCCGACCUGAGAGGGUGAUCGGCCACACUGGGACUGAGACACGGCCCAGACUCCUACGGGAGGCAGCAGUAGGGAAUCUUCGGCAAUGGACGAAAGUCUGACCGAGCAACGCCGCGUGAGUGAAGAAGGUUUUCGGAUCGUAAAGCUCUGUUGUAAGUCAAGAACGUGUGUGAGAGUGGAAAGUUCACACAGUGACGGUAGCUUACCAGAAAGGGACGGCUAACUACGUGCCAGCAGCCGCGGUAAUACGUAGGUCCCGAGCGUUGUCCGGAUUUAUUGGGCGUAAAGGGAGCGCAGGCGGUCAGGAAAGUCUGGAGUAAAAGGCUAUGGCUCAACCAUAGUGUGCUCUGGAAACUGUCUGACUUGAGUGCAGAAGGGGAGAGUGGAAUUCCAUGUGUAGCGGUGAAAUGCGUAGAUAUAUGGAGGAACACCAGUGGCGAAAGCGGCUCUCUGGUCUGUCACUGACGCUGAGGCUCGAAAGCGUGGGUAGCGAACAGGAUUAGAUACCCUGGUAGUCCACGCCGUAAACGAUGAGUGCUAGGUGUUAGGCCCUUUCCGGGGCUUAGUGCCGGAGCUAACGCAAUAAGCACUCCGCCUGGGGGGUACGACCGCAAGGUUGAAACUCAAAGGAAUUGACG
rnacentral:rRNA from 1 species